UAGGCCAUAAAACACCUUCAGCUUCCUAAACAAGAAGACUUCAAACCAUAAGCAGGUUUUCUUGUGAUGCCUGCUGUACUUCUUGUGGUGUCUGUGGUACUUCUCGUGGUGUGUCUAACUUCAAAGCUCAGGCCCUUAUUUAUAGUUCCAAGACGAGACAACAAGUCUAAUUUUCCCGAUGUGGGACUAUGGGACUUGCCAAACUAACA
rnacentral:lncRNA from 1 species